UCGCAUGGUGGUUGGUGGAAAGCUUUUGUGGUUUUGGAUGGACUCGCGGCCUAUCAGCUUGUUGGUGGGGUAAUGGCCUACCAAGGCGACGACGGGUAGCCGGCCUGAGAGGGUGACCGGCCACACUGGGACUGAGACACGGCCCAGACUCCUACGGGAGGCAGCAGUGGGGAAUAUUGCACAAUGGGCGGAAGCCUGAUGCAGCGACUCCGCGUGAGGGAUGACGGCCUUCGGGUUGUAAACCUCUUUCAGUAGGGAAGAACCGUAAGUGACGGUACCUGCAGAAGAAGCGCC
rnacentral:rRNA from 1 species